rnacentral:rRNA from 1 species
UCCAGACUCCUACGGGAGGCAGCAGUGGGGAAUAUUGGGCAAUGGGCGCAAGCCUGACCCAGCAACGCCGCGUGAAGGAAGAAGGCUUUCGGGUUGUAAACUUCUUUUCUGAGGGACGAAGAAAGUGACGGUACCUCAGGAAUAAGCCACGGCUAACUACGUGCCAGCAGCCGCGGUAAUACGUAGGUGGCAAGCGUUGUCCGGAUUUACUGGGUGUAAAGGGCGUGUAGCCGGGAAGGCAAGUCAGAUGUGAAAUCCGGAGGCUCAACCUCCGAAUUGCAUUUGAAACUGUUUUUCUUGAGUACUGGAGAGGCAGACGGAAUUCCUUGUGUAGCGGUGAAAUGCGUAGAUAUUAGGAGGAACACCAGUGGCGAAGGCGGCUUACUGGACUGUAACUGACGUUGAGGCUCGAAAGCGUGGGGAGCAAACAGGAUUAGAUACCCUAGUA